rnacentral:rRNA from 1 species
UACGGAGGGUGCGAGCGUUGUCCGGAAUCACUGGGCGUAAAGGGUGCGUAGGCGGUCCGUUAAGUCUGAUGUGAAAGCCCUGGGCUCAACUCAGGAAUGGCAUUGGAAACUGGCGGGCUUGGAGUACGGGAGAGGGAAGCGGAAUUCCUGGUGUAGCGGUGAAAUGCGUAGAUACCAGGAGGAACACCGGUGGCGAAGGCGGCUUCCUGGCCCAGUACUGACGCUGAGGCACAAAGGCGUGGGGAGCGAACGGG